UUUGUUAGUCUUAUUUUAUAGUUUUCUGUUUGUUUGACUCUGUGUCUUGUUGUUGUUUUGGUUUUAUUUUGUUAACUCUUAGGGAAAGAGUAAAUUCCAAGUGAAGAUUGUUCAAUCAAUUGAUCUAUUCGAAGACAUAAUUAGGAAAAGGGUUGUCGAGAUUUUAUGGUUUUUUCCUGGUGUUUCUAUGAUUCUGGUGUUGAUUUGUCCGUCCCCAACCACGAAGGAGGUGCCGUUUGUGCUUUAUUACUGUUAACAGUAUAAAAGUAAAUAUUUUCGGUCUGGACAUUAUGAAAGAAAAAAAAAGGGGCUUGGACAGUAAAAAAGAAAUUAUUGUCGUGUGUCAGUAUUAUUGUAAAACUUGGAGAAAAAAACAGUAUUUUUGUAAGUUUCC